GAUUGGUUUCCCCACCUUAAAGUACCGAGCAUUUUAGGGGUCUAGCUCGCUGAUAUAAAAAACCGGAAGAUUCAAUCCAGGGACGCUUGGGACUGCAUUGAAUCCUUAGUUAGAGAGAGGGUCUAAGCUAAGCCUACGUAACGAAAUGGGAACAACCCUUUUUGUCCGCUUUCAGCUAUGCUAUAUAGAUGGGCUACUUUUGAAAUAAAACGAAAUAUGUAAGUAAGUAGCAUCUAGAAUAGAAUCCAGAGCAGCUAAGAAAAAAAGAGGGUUGAACCCGGCUCACAAACCAGGAGAUCUGGGGGCUUUUGCCCGCUCAUCAUCAAUCCUAUUCUACUACUCUGUUAGUAAAAAUUCUUGUCAGUCUCCGAGGGACAUCAAAGACUUGAAAGUACAUCGAUAGACAAAGCAUUUUCCUUCCUCACUACUAUCUCGAGAGAAGCAAUCGGCUUG
rnacentral:lncRNA from 1 species